CCCCCUGAGAGAACUGGACCUCAGCUACAAUGACCUGGAAGACAGAGGAGUGGAGCUGCUCUGUGUUGGACUAACCAGUCCACUCUGCAACAUACAGACACUAGUUCUAGGUCAGUGUGGUCUGACAGAGGGUUGCUGUUCACAUCUGGCCUCUGUCCUGAGUUCACCCAACUCAGAACUGAAACACCUGGAGCUGAGAGACAAUGACCUGCAGGACUCAGGAGUUACACUGCUGUCUGCUGGACUGGAGGAUCCAGACUGUAAACUACACACACUGGGGCUGUCUGGCUGUCUGGUCACAGAGGAGGGCUGUGCUGCUCUGUCUUCAGCUCUGAGGUCAAACCCCUCCCACCUGAAAGAGCUGGACCUGAGCUACAAUCACCCAGGAGACUCUGCAGGAGGACUGCUUUCAGCUGCUCUGGUGGAUCCCACAUAUAAACUGAUGAA